rnacentral:lncRNA from 1 species
UGAAAAGUGGAGAAAUUUGUGGACUUUUUGAGUUGAUUGACCCUGGACCUGGAGGAAACAAAUUUCAAACUUGACGAGAUUCUACUCUAAUUUUUGUCCACUAAAGUAUAGACAAUUCAAUUUUUCAUUCUAUUAGGCACUCGUGGUUUUUCACCUGUCCUGUCCUGCAAUAAUAAUCAAGCUUGGCUGGCCUACAUGUUGCGAAUAUAUCCAACUUUUUAUUUUAUUUAAUUAAUAUAAUAAUGUUC